rnacentral:rRNA from 2 species
AUUGAACGCUGGCGGAAUGCUUUACACAUGCAAGUCGAACGGCAGCAUAGAGAGCUUGCUCUCUGAUGGCGAGUGGCGAACGGGUGAGUAAUAUAUCGGAACGUGCCUAGUAAUGGGGAAUAACUAGCUGAAAGGUUAGCUAAUGCCGCAUACGACCUACGGGUGAAAGCAGGGGAUCUUCGGACCUUGCGUUAUUAGAGCGGCCGAUAUCUGAUUAGCUUGUUGGUGGGGUAAUGGCCUACCAAGGCGACGAUCAGUAGCUGGUCUGAGAGGACGAUCAGCCACACUGGAACUGAGACACGGUCCAGACUCCUACGGGAGGCAGCAGUGGGGAAUUUUGGACAAUGGGGGCAACCCUGAUCCAGCCAUUCCGCGUGAGUGAAGAAGGCCUUCGGGUUGUAAAGCUCUUUCGCAAGAGAAGAAAACUUGCUAUCUAAUAAAUAGUAAGUAUGACGGUAUCUUGACAAGAAGCACCGGCUAACUACGUGCCAGCAGCCGCGGUAAUACGUAGGGUGCAAGCGUUAAUCGGAAUUACUGGGCGUAAAGCGUGCGCAGGCAGUUUUAUAAGUCAGAUGUGAAAUCCCCGAGCUCAACUUGGGAACUGCGUUUGAAACUGUAAGACUAGAGUGUGUCAGAGGGGGGUAGAAUUCCAAGUGUAGCAGUGAAAUGCGUAGAGAUUUGGAGGAAUACCAAUGGCGAAGGCAGCCCCCUGGGAUAACACUGACGCUCA